rnacentral:rRNA from 1 species
ACCAGACUCCUACGGGAGGCAGCAGUGGGGGAUAUUGCACAAUGGGGGGAACCCUGAUGCAGCGACGCCGCGUGGGUGAAGAAGCGCCUCGGCGCGUAAAGCCCUGUCAGCAGGGAAGAAAAUGACGGUACCUGAAGAAGAAGCCCCGGCUAACUACGUGUCAGCAGCCGCGGUAAUACGUAGGGGGCAAGCGUUAUCCGGAUUUACUGGGUGUAAAGGGGGCGCAGACGGCGAUGCAAGCCAGGAGUGAAAGCCCGGGGCCCAACCCCGGGACUGCUCUUGGAACUGCGUGGCUGGAGUGCAGGAGGGGCAGGCGGAAUUCCUGGUGUAGCGGUGAAAUGCGUAGAUAUCAGGAGGAACACCGGUGGCGAAGGCGGCCUGCUGGACUGCAACUGACGUUGAGGCCCGAAAGCGUGGGGAGCAAACAGGAUUAGAUACCCCCGUAAAA